UGCAGUUGGAAGAAGUCCAUUAACUGUUAACAUGACCCGGGGUCCAGCUGCUUCUGCAUUUUCUGUCCUCUUUUUCCUUCUAGUACAAACUCCUGAGAGAAGAAAGCUGAUUGGCUCAGCUGAUGCCCAUGGUCUCCGGGCAGAACUUUUUGUGUCAGGCCAUGUGAUAGGCUAUCAUGUAGCCUACUGCCGGGCUGCUUUUGUGUCCGGUGCUUAUCUGCGGUCCAAUCAGAUGUCAGCUCUGAAGCUUUGGGCAGGGAGGAUUCUAAGGGAAGUUGGGUGCACGGUGGCGAAGUUGUCUUGUGCGAGUGCGAGGCUUGGUACUUAAUUCGUUUCAGGGGCCUGCAGGACACUGAGGGGGAGAUUUCUAGGAGACAGACGUGGGUCUGAAGCAUGGAGGGGAGUCAGAGGGGGAGAGAUGACCUUGAUACAUUCAAGCACAGAGUUGGUCAUGGGGUACCACGAGCACCGGCACAGUGCCUCCCACGGAGCACGGACUCAGAAAUGUUCGUUGUUGCCUGUGAGAAUCCUGUCACUGGUGGCUUCAUAGAGGUGGUGGCGUUUGAGGCACCUGCAGGGAGAGGGCCACAGCUGAGUGAGUGUCUUACAGUUGGCUGGACGUGCCACGAUCCUCCUCAGUCCCUCUGGUAUGUCCCUGAUCCGGGCGAUUCAGGCAAGGCCACAGCCUGUGAUGGCAGACCAACUUGGAUUCCAAGUCCAGCUUUUCCACUUACUGGCUGUGUGACCUCAGGCAAGUGGCUUAGUGUCUCUGAGCUGCGGCUUCUUCAUCUGUAUGGCGUGCAUACUGAUCCUUCUCUCACAGGGCUGUCGUGAAGAUUCAGCGAGGCAGUGUUUACAGCUAGAAUUUUCUUCCCACCUCGUUCUGGAGGGGUUUCUGGCACAGGCUAUGAACCUCUGCUGUCUCUUUUGUUUUGAGGGGCUUCCUUCUCGCCUACGCCUGGAACUUGAAUUGCGGAUCCUCUGCCGCUCGUGUCCGGUUCUCUGCGUGUUACGGGGCCCCGCUUGCCCUCUCUCUCUCCCAAAC